rfam:Arabis alpina cultivar Pajares chromosome 6, whole genome shotgun sequence.
AUUCCAUGGUGAGGACAUCUUCUAGUGUAACCCUUCAAACGUUCCCAAGCUUCACUUAGAGACUUUUGACCACCUUGCCUGAAAGAGUUUAUAUCACUCCUGUACU